rnacentral:rRNA from 1 species
ACUCCUACGGGAGGCAGCAGUGGGGAAUUUUGGACACUGGGCGAAAGCCUGAUCCAGCCAUGCCGCGUGCAGGAUGAAGGCCUUCGGGUUGUAAACUGCUUUUGUACGGAACGAAACGGCCUUUUCUAAUAAAGAGGGCUAAUGACGGUACCGUAAGAAUAAGCACCGGCUAACUACGUGCCAGCAGCCGCGGUAAUACGUAGGGUGCAAGCGUUAAUCGGAAUUACUGGGCGUAAAGCGUGCGCAGGCGGUUAUGUAAGACAGUUGUGAAAUCCCCGGGCUCAACCUGGGAACUGCAUCUGUGACUGCAUAGCUAGAGUACGGUAGAGGGGGAUGGAAUUCCGCGUGUAGCAGUGAAAUGCGUAGAUAUGCGGAGGAACACCGAUGGCGAAGGCAAUCCCCUGGACCUGUACUGACGCUCAUGCACGAAAGCGUGGGGAGCAAACAGGAUUAGAUACCCUAGUAGUCCCAUGAU